rnacentral:rRNA from 1 species
CCUACGGGAGGCAGCAGUGAGGAAUAUUGGUCAAUGGACGCAAGUCUGAACCAGCCAUGCCGCGUGCAGGAAGACGGCUCCAUGAGUUGUAAACUGCUUUUGUACGAGGGUAAACGCAGAUACGCGUAUCUGUCUGAAAGUAUCGUACGAAUAAGGAUCGGCUAACUCCGUGCCAGCAGCCGCGGUAAUAAGGAGGAUUCAAGCGUUAUCCGGAUUUAUUGGGUUUAAAGGGUGCGUAGGCGGUCGGAUAAGUUAGAGGUGAAAGCCCGAGGCUCAACUUCGGAAUUGCCUCUGAUACUGUUCGGCUAGAGAGUAGUUGCGGGAGGCGGAAUGUAUGGUGUAGCGGUGAAAUGCUUAGAGAUCAGACAGAACACCGAUUGCGAAGGCAGCUUACCAAGCUACUUCUGACGUUGAGGCACGAAAGCGUGGGGAGCAAACAGGAUUAGAUACCCUAGUAGUC